ensembl:snRNA U6 U6 spliceosomal RNA
GUGACGCUUGCUUUGGGGACACAUAUACUGAAACUGUAGUGAUACAGGAAGAUUAGUAUGGCUCCUACACAAGGAUGACUCACAAAUUCAUGAAGCAUUCCAUAUUAUU